CUCAAAGCCAAAUUGAUUGGCCUUGACCUGGGGCCACACCAGGAGCAGGCACCUUCUGGGGCAAGGGUGCCUUUCAGUGCCUGGCUGAAGGCAGUCACCACACGGUCCAGGAAGCCUGAGGAAUGAUAGGUUGAUACGGGAGUCCGCAGAGCUGGGCUCGCUCCAGGCACUCAUCACCCAAGGGCAUCUGCAAACUGAGAGGAGCUUUAGGAAGACGCAGUUCAAUCUCAGGGAAUUCCAAAGAUGCCUGGAAUCCAUCACCUCUCCAUUCCUUGAAUUAUCUAGCAUGCCUGGAGGUCCUAUAGUCACUGUCCACCACUCACCGGGAAGCUUAACCCUGCAUUGAAAACAUCUGUUUCGCAGAAUGAGAAAAGGGAGGAGGCUAGAGCAAUGGCUCAGCAAAAAGUAAAGAGCACUUGCUCUUCUUCCAGAGUA